rnacentral:rRNA from 1 species
UACGUAGGGUGCAAGCGUUAAUCGGAAUUACUGGGCGUAAAGCGUGCGCAGGCGGUUUGUUAAGUCUGUCGUGAAAUCCCCGGGCUCAACCUGGGAAUGGCGAUGGAUACUGGCGAGCUAGAGUGCGUCAGAGGAUGGUGGAAUUCCCGGUGUAGCGGUGAAAUGCGUAGAGAUCGGGAGGAACAUCAGUGGCGAAGGCGGUCUGCUGGGCCGUUGCUGACGCUGAGGCGCGACAGCGUGGGGAGCAAACAGG